rnacentral:rRNA from 1 species
AUUGAACGCUGGCGGCAGGCCUAACACAUGCAAGUCGAGCGGAUGAGAAGAGCUUGCUCUUCGAUUCAGCGGCGGACGGGUGAGUAAUGCCUAGGAGUCUGCCUGGUAGUGGGGGACAACGUUUCGAAAGGAGCGCUAAUACCGCAUACGUCCUACGGGAGAAAGCAGGGGACCUUCGGGCCUUGCGCUAUCAGAUGAGCCUAGGUCGGAUUAGCUAGUUGGUGAGGUAAUGGCUCACCAAGGCGACGAUCCGUAACUGGUCUGAGAGGAUGAUACGUCACCAUGGAACAGAGACACGGUCCAGACUCCUGCGGGAGGCAGCAGUGGGGAAUAUUGGACAUUGGGCGAAAGCCUGAUCCAGCCAUGCCGCGUGUGUGAAGAAGGUCUUCGGAUUGUAAAGCACUUUAAGUUGGGAGGAAGGGCAGUAAGUUAAUACCUUGCUGUUUUGACGUUACCGACAGAAUAAGCACCGGCUAACUCUGUGCCAGCCGCCGCAGUAAGAC